AGUUCGGGAUUCGUUGCGAUCAUCCGCUCGGGGUCUCCUCUCGGAGAUGUCGUCGGAUCGGUCGUCGUGUCUCGAUUUGCGAUGGGACGACGCAUGAGUGGCAAUCGAGAUAUUUUCCUCGCAGGCUCCAUGCUUUUAGCAUCCAACUGCGUUGGCUUAUCUUCUUCAUUAGCGGCUCUCGUUAUUGGUUAUAGCGUGGGUUGUGUUCGCUCGUUUGGGUUGCCGCGUGUUAUAUCGGACUCGACAUUAGGAUGGACUGCUGUCCCGGGUCAUUUUGUGAAUCCUUCCCCGCUUCGUGCGGUGUUGCUGGGGAUUGUGUUUGUGUCGGCAAUCGUCAUACGUGUGGUGCAAUCUCUCGUGAUGGCUUGCCGAUGCAAUCGGCUUUCUCGGUUGCGGAGAACUUCUCGUCGUCGCAUCGGUCAUCGGCCUUUGUGAGCGUAACGUUAGUAGGCAUUGUCGCUCUUGUUUUACGACCCUCGUUUUCUUCCGAGAGCACACGGAGCAUUUGACGUUCCGUGUCGUGACGGGAGAGCAAUCGAGGUCGAAGACGGAAUCUACCUGGUUGAU
rnacentral:misc_RNA from 1 species